CCCUGUCGGGUUUUACCUCCCCCCGGGAGAGCUCAGCCCUGGAUCCCGGCGGGCGGCGGAGCCUCUCUGGAGCCCGGACGGGACAGCCCACCAGGGUCUGCUUCUGUGAGGGGCCGAGGCGUCAUUCCGCGAAGCCUUCUCCUUGCUGUUGCCAUGUGAAGAAGGAUGUGUUUGCUUCCCCUUCUGCCAUGAUUGUAAGUUUUCUGAAGCCUCUCCAGCCAUGCCAAACUAAUUGGAAAAAACUACUUUAAAGUUCAUAUGGAACCAAAAAAGAGCCCGCAUCGCCAAGUCAAUCCUAAGCCAAAGGAACAAAGCUGGAGGCAUCACACUACGUGACCUCAAACUACACUACAAGGCUACAGUAACCAAAACAGCAUGGUACUGGUACCAAAACAGAGAUAUAGAUCAAUGGAACAGAACAGAGCCCUCAGAAAUAAUGCCGCAUAUCUACAACUAUCUGAUCUUUGACAAACCUGAGAAAAACAAGCAAUGGGGAAAGGAUUCCCUAUUUAAUAAAUGGUGCUGGGAAAACUGGCUAGCCAUAUGUAGAAAGCUGAAACUGGAUCCCUUCCUUACACCUUAUACAAAAAUCAAUUCAAGAUGGAUUAAAGACUUAAACGUUAGACCUAAAACCAUAAAAACCCUAGAAGAAAACCUAGGCAUUACCAUUCAGGACAUAGGCAUGAGCAAGGACUUCAUGUCUAAAACACCAAAA
rnacentral:lncRNA from 1 species